GCCUCCAUCUCCAAUCUCAUAACGCCGCCGCUCUGUGCGUAUACCACACCACUAGACGCCGCACCGUUGGACGCUGCACUGCUGGGCGCCGCACCGCUGGACGCCACCUUCUACGCCGCACUCGACUCGCUGGACGUCGCCUUCUACGUUGCACCUGACCCACUUUCCUUCUACCGCCUCUGUCACAGCCACCAUUGGGGUUUCUUUGAAAACCGAACUCGAGGGAGAAACUAAGGCGAGCCUCAACCUUUUCUAGGGUUCAUUUCCACUCAGCUCCACCAUGCAUAGAAUCGUCGGUUCACGACUCAGGUUGCUCAAGUUAUCGGAUGUGCACGUGUGGAGAUAUCAACAAAUUCACAUUUGCCUAUCUCUUCACCUCUCUAAUAUUGUGCAUAAGCAAAGCUGUUUGUCAACUUGAACAUUUACGUGGUGAGUAUGAUUUAGAAUAUAAUAGAGUAGCUUUUGGUUUUGAACUCUAGCUCUAACAUCUUACACACAAUAUUAUUCAAGUGUAGUUCAAAAAAGCGUACUUUACGACCUUACACAUUUAUCCUAGUUUAGUAGAUGCUCUUGAUAAUUUGUCUAAAAUUCUAUAGAAAGUUGUCCUCUCUUCCACAUCCACGAAGUUUAGAUGACAUUACCAAACUUUUCAACGUGAAUGUUAAGCCACAAAGGUUGUUGUUUCUUUCCUUUAAAAUUUUGUUUACAUGAUUGUUUUA